CCACUGUAAAGCAUGGGCGGAGUUUGGGAUAGGGAGCCGGUGAUCCCUUUGCGUUGCGUGUCAGGAAGCGUCCAAGUUUGCAAGUACCGUUCCAGAAGUGCAGCUCCUAGCUGAGCCCCAGCAGCAUGGCUGCCCCAGGGAUUGAGGAGAGCGGCAGCAGUAAGACCAAACUGCCCAAGAGCCCUGAUUUUUCUGUAACACGCUUACAUGAAGAUUUUAUCUGGCUACACGACUCUCUCAUUGAGACUGAAGACUAUGCAGGAUUGAUUAUUCCCCCAGCCCCAGCAAAACCCAGCCCAAGAUUUUGAUGGGCCCCGAGAAAAAAUGCAGAAAUUGGGAGAGGGCGAAGGUUCCAUGACUAAGGAUGAAUUUUCCAAAAUGAAACAGGAAUUGGAAGCUGAGUAUUUGGCAGUGUAUAAGAAGACUGUGGCAGUGCAUGAAGUUUUCCUGCAGAGGAUAGCAUCGCACCCUAUUUUAUGCAAAGACACCAACUUACACAUUUUCCUAGAAAUUACCAAGAUGUGAUUAAGUGUAAGGAGGAAGAAUAUAAAAGAAAUGUUUGGAGUCUUCUUUAAGAGCAUGGUAAAAAGUGCAGAUGAGGUUUUGUUUUGUGGAGUAAAGGAAGUUGACGAGUUCUUUGAUCAAGAAAAAACCUUCCUGGUAAACUACUACAACAGGAUCAAGGACUCGUGUGCAAAAGCUGACAGAAUGACAAGAACUCACAAAAACGUCGCAGAUGAUUAUAUUCAUAUUUCGGCUGCCCUAACGUGUAGCUGAAGAGGAGAACACUCAAGUUAGAAAGUACUUGCUAAAGUUGGCCGAGUUGUUUGAAAAGCUUCGGUUCACAACUGGGUCGUGCAGUGAGGAGAUUUACAGUUGUGAGAUCUGUGCCAAAGGCUUUCAGUUAACGCAUGCUCAAUCGUCACCUCAAGUGUCAUAGUCAAGUAAAAAGGCACCUGUGCACCUUCUGCGGGAAAGGCUUUAAUGAUGCUUUUGACCUAUAAAGACACGUGAGGACUCGCACAGGCAUCCGCCCUUACAAAUGUGAGAUCUGCAACAAGGCAUUUACUCAGAGGUGUUCCCUGGAAUCUCACCUUAAGAAAAUCCACGGGGUUCAGCAGGGUUACGCUUACAAACAACGCAGGGAUAAGCUCUUUGUCUGUGAGGAUUGUGGCUACACUGGACCCUCCCAAGAGGACUUGUACCUACAUGUUUAUGAUAGCCACCCAGGAAACGCUUUCCUCAAGAAAACCACCAAAAAACUGGCAGCCAUUUUACAAACCAAAAUCACAUCUGUUCUUCAGAUAAAGUCCACAGCACAAGAAGAGGUGGAGGCAGAGUGAGAAGACAAACGGUGCUUAGACAGAUGUUUACAGAGUUUAUUAACUUUAUGAAACCAUUUUUUAUUGCCUAUUUUAUUGCUUUUUUUUAAAGUGGGGAGAUUUCUAAAUUAUACAAUGAACUCACCGUGGUUGGAUAUCUUUUUUUACAUUAUGACAAAUGAUUGGGCCAAAAAAUGUAUUCAAGUAUACAUUUUUAGAAUAUGAUUAUCUCGUGAAUGUGGUAUGAACUGUACAAUUGUAUAGCAGUGUAAAUAAAUAUAUUAGCCCUUAAAUUGAAGUA